AUUGAACGCUGGCGGCAUGCCUUACACAUGCAAGUCGAACGGUAACGCGGGGCAACCUGGCGACGAGUGGCGAACGGGUGAGUAACGCAUCGGAACGUGCCCAAUAGUGGGGGAUAGCCCGGCGAAAGCCGGAUUAAUACCGCAUACGACCUACGGGUGAAAGCAGGGGAUCGCAAGACCUUGCGCUAAUGGAGCGGCCGAUGUCAGAUUAGGUUGUUGGUGGGGUAAAAGCCUACCAAGCCGACGAUCUGUAGCUGGUCUGAGAGGACGACCAGCCACACUGGGACUGAGACACGGCCCAGACUCCUACGGGAGGCAGCAGUGGGGAAUUUUGGACAAUGGGCGAAAGCCUGAUCCAGCCAUGCCGCGUGCGGGAUGAAGGCCUUCGGGUUGUAAACCGCUUUUGUUAGGGAAGAAAUCUUUUGAGCUAAUACCUCGGAAGGAUGACGGUACCUAAAGAAUAAGCACCGGCUAACUCUGUGCCAGCCGCCGCGGUAA
rnacentral:rRNA from 1 species